rnacentral:rRNA from 1 species
CCUANGGGUGGCAGCAGUAAGGAAUAUUGCGCAAUGGGCGAAAGCCUGACGCAGCGACGCCGCGUGGGGGAUGAAGGUCUUCGGAUUGUAAACCCCUUUCGGGAGGGAAGAUGGAACGAGCAAUCGUUCGGACGGUACCUCCAGAAGCAGCCACGGCUAACUUCGUGCCAGCAGCCGCGGUAAUACGAAGGUGGCAAGCGUUGUUCGGAUUUACUGGGCGUACAGGGAGCGUAGGCGGCCUUCUAAGUCAGACGUGAAAUCCCAAGGCUUAACCUUGGAACUGCGUCUGAUACUGGAAGGCUAGAGGUCGGGAGAGGGAUGUAGAAUUCCAGGUGUAGCGGUGAAAUGCGUAGAUAUCUGGAGGAAUACCGGUGGCGAAGGCGGCAUCCUGGACCGAAACUGACGCUGAGGCGCGAAAGCUAGGGUAGCAAACGGGAUUAGAUACCCUGNUANUC